rnacentral:rRNA from 1 species
CCUACGGGUGGCAGCAGUGAGGAAUAUUGGUCAAUGGGCGCGAGCCUGAACCAGCCAAGUCGCGUGAGGGAUGAAGGUUCUAUGGAUCGUAAACCUCUUUUAUAAGGGAAUAAAGUGUGGGACGUGUCCUCUUUUGUAUGUACCUUAUGAAUAAGGAUCGGCUAACUCCGUGUCAGCAGCCGCGGUAAUACGGAGGAUCCGAGCGUUAUCCGGAUUUAUUGGGUUUAAAGGGUGCGUAGGCGGCCUUUUAAGUCAGCGGUGAAAGUCUGUGGCUCAACCGUAGAAUUGCCGUUGAAACUGGGGGGCUGGAGUAUGGUUGAGGCAGGCGGAAUGCGUGGUGUAGCGGUGAAAUGCUUAGAUAUCACGAAGAACCCCGAUUGCGAAGGCAGCCUGCCAAGCCAUGACUGACGCUGAUGCACGAAAGCGUGGGGAUCAAACAGGAUUAGAUACCCCGGUAGUC